UACAGAGGGUGCAAGCGUUAAUCGGAAUUACUGGGCGUAAAGCGUGCGUAGACGGUUAUGUAAGUCGGGUGUGAAAGCCCCGGGCUCAACCUGGGAAUGCCAUUCGAGACUGCAUAGCUAGGGUGCGGAAGAGGGAAGCGGAAUUUCCGGUGUAGCGGUGAAAUUCGUAGAUAUUCGCAAGAACACCAGUGGCGAAGGCGGCUCACUGGCCCGGUACUGACGCUGAGGUGCGAAAGCGUGGGGAGCAAACAGG
rnacentral:rRNA from 1 species